CACCCAGGACGGUGGAUCACUCGGCUCGUGGGUCGAUGAAGAACGCAGCAAGUUGCGCGUCGACAUGUGAACUGCAGGACACAUGAACAUCGACGUUUCGAACGCACAUUGCGGUCCAUGGAUUCCGUUCCCGGGCCACGUCUGGCUGAGGGUCGGCU
rnacentral:rRNA from 1 species